rnacentral:rRNA from 1 species
UACGAAGGGGGCUAGCGUUGUUCGGAGUUACUGGGCGUAAAGGGCGCGUAGGCGGCGCAUCAAGUCAGGCGUGAAAGCCCUGGGCUCAACCCGGGAAUUGCGCUUGAGACUGGUGUGCUUGAGUACGGGAGAGGAUAGUGGAAUUCCCAGUGUAGAGGUGAAAUUCGUAGAUAUUGGGAAGAACACCGGUGGCGAAGGCGGCUAUCUGGACCGUAACUGACGCUGAGGCGCGAAAGCGUGGGGAG